CUAACAUUAUAAAAAUGGAGACCAAACGCGUUUCCUUGGGCUCAACGGCAAGAUGUUACGGUCGUUUAAUUUCGCAAACCAAGCAAGCGGGCGGACCUCGGUUUUCCCUUUUGGCGAUUCAACAAGAUCUCAGUUCCAAGCUGAGAAUAGCCAAUGAUUCGAAGAGUUCAGAUAGAACGAAAUCCUCCCUCGUCGGAGCUCCAGCCGCCGUCACCCUAGAAGGAGAGGACAGGAAAGUUCCAGUCCUCUGCCACUCAUCACGCGUGCCAUCGUAACGGCAGAGAUCCAAAAAGUCAUGUCAGCGAAUUCAGAAAUACACUACAUCACCGUGAUAUUGGGUUCUAGCCUGCUUAUGAGUCAGUUAUUGAUUUGCUCAUCUCAGUGUUGUGGGAUUAAAGUGCACCUAUUUGAUGAAUAUGGGAAAGUUUAACCAUAUCCCUUUCCUGUCUUCUGGUCUCUUUAAUGCUUUGCUUUUCUUGGUUCUGUGAGUUGUUUUGUGAUCAGAGAAUUUCUUGAUUGUGAAGUUAUGUAAAAGGACAAAGAUGGGGCUUCUUUACCAGACGGAUUAUAGGGACAGAAGAAAAAAUAAAAAAAGAUAGAAGUACUGAUUUUACUUUGAAGCCCUAAGACAACUGUUCCUUACUACCUGGUACUAUUAAUAAUGUUAAAAUUGGUGGCAUUAGCUGCAAGCUCUUUA